CGUCCGCCCGCGCGCCCGCCCUCCUCUCUCGGGCCUUCGAUCCGGUGGUCUGCGCCUGCGGCUUCCCGGUUGCUGAGGUGUCACUAAGCGGCCCUUGAAGCCAGCAGCGCGGCGAGGUGGUGCGGAGGGCGUCCUGACGCGUCGCGUUGGAAGCAGCUCCGUACCAAACGCCGGACACCCCCUUCGUCCAGCGCAGAGACAGACGUUAAGCUUUUCUGGAGGAACUUCCGAUAAAAGGAUGGCCGGAGUCCUUCGCAUCAGAAGAGAUCAUGGCUGUGGCAUUGCUUUACAGCAGAAAGUAUAAGAACUUAAAAUAGCCCUCGGGAGAGAGGGUUCGGACUGUGCCAACCCCUGACCGUAAAUAUUUUGACAACAACUUUGUACCUUUCGCAGCUAGCGAUUUUUUUCUAAUUAUCAAAAUGGGAUUCAAAGGGUCCAGUAAUCCCCCUGAAACUUUUUUAAAUUUUGCAUUUGUAAACUAAAAGAGGUUAACACCUAUGCUAGGUGCAAACUAGAAAAUGACGGUCUGACCCUGAUGCUAUAGCGUUUAGAGCCCUUGUUUCUUACUCACUACCACUAAUUUUCAUAUAACCAUGAAGUUAGGGUUAUUCCAAGUGCCCACCUUGUACCAGUUCUAGGCUUUGAGACGACACUAUGGCAGAGGCCCUGUUAACUUGGACUAGAACCAGGUUGUUAAACGUGGGUAAACUAUGAGCUACGGAGAGAUGGUUGGUUGAAUGUAAAACCUUAAUUUUUGUUUUCUGUGAAGCCACAGUUUAUUCAAUAAAGCAACUAAUUAUUGAA